AUGUCAAACCUUUACAGGAUUAGUUUAUUUAGAUCUUGGAGCCAAGAAGACCAAAUCAAGGAUACACCCUCCAAGAGGAGAUUAUUCAUUCAGCGCAGGGAGGCCCAGAUGGUUAUCAGGAGACUUCUGGCUCGCCGUGCACCUCAUCUGAGGGUAAAUAACGUACCAACGGGGAUUGCCGGUGGCGAUUACAUCAUUUACAGGGAAUCAAAGGUCUGCUGUCUCCUACUAAAAAAAAAAAAAACGGUUGGAUUAGACCAUGAUGGUCGAAUAAAAGAAAUUCUGUCAUUAAAUAAAAAAAAGUUUGAUUUCCAUUGCCAAAUAUACUUGAAAAAAUACUUCACACAAAAUAUACUCACCGUUAUAUUGUUCCAAACCCACAUGGCUAUUUUUUUUCAUGAAACUCUAAAGGAGAAAUUUGAUCAUUUUGAUAAUUAUUUGAUAAUGAUAAGAUGUUUUUUGAGCAACAAAUCAUAUAUUAUAUGAUAUAUUAUAAUGACUUCUGAAGGAUCACUGAAGAGCAGGGUAAUGACAGUUGAAAAUUCACAUUUCAAAAUAUAAUAAAAUGAACAAAUUGUAAUAAUAUUUCA
ensembl:lncRNA